rnacentral:rRNA from 1 species
UACGAAGGGGGCUAGCGUUGCUCGGAAUCACUGGGCGUAAAGCGCACGUAGGCGGAUCUUUAAGUCAGGGGUAAAAUCCUGGAGCUCAACUCCAGAACUGCCUUUGAUACUGGGGAUCUCGAGUCCGGGAGAGGUGAGUGGAACUGCGAGUGUAGAGGUGAAAUUCGUAGAUAUUCGCAAGAACACCAGUGGCGAAGGCGGCUCACUGGCCCGGUACUGACGCUGAGGUGCGAAAGCGUGGGGAGCAAACAGG